CUGCGCAACCAACGUCCAAUGGCGUGGAAUCAACGGCGGUAACUUCUUGUAUGGUUCCAAAGUCAGAGUUAUACCCUGAACUCCAAAUCGGCGGAAUAGGGGUCCAGAAUCGAAAUCGGAAUGAUCCAUUUCGAUUCCAAAUGUUUGGUUUGACGGAAUCGAAAUCCCAUUUCCACUCGUAUGGGCGAACGGCCAUUCUCGACCCCUCCCCAGUAAUGCGAUUCCCAUUCCGGAUAUGAAUAUCUUUUUUUAUUUUUUUGAAAAGAACUCCAUCGCCAAACAGAGGGCCGAACCAACCUCCGGCGAGGCAAUCGGUGAGGAAUUUGGCAUUUCCAAAAAAAAAUAGCAAUUUGGCAUAAUUUGGGUCAUCAGAGUCGAUGCACAAUUCAAGUCUAAACUCAUUCUGACCAGAGAUACAUGAAUCAUCUGAAGGUUUUUUCCAAAUGACAGUAUUUCCAUCUACACCCUUGCUACAGCUUGCAGAUCUCCCCAUUCUUUACCUUGUUUAGGCCAUUGUACAGGGGGACCAGAGAUGACCAGAUAAUAAUAAUAGUUAAUAAUUAUUUUGUAUGCGGAGUAAUUUGAAAUAUUUCUUCUUAAUAUACAUGAGAAUUCUGGGUAUAGCACUUGUCUGCAUCACCAUAUUUGUCAAAUAUUGGUAGUUUGGUAACAGCAUUCCCUUUGAAGCUUUCCUACUAAGUUUUCCUAUUGUUCAUCUGUUCACCAAGGAAACAAAUAUUCUUUGCCAUCCAUGUAUUAACAGAAUUAAUGGGAACUUUUAAUCUCUUGGAAUGAGGAAUUUAGGGUCUAAGCUUGGGGGGAUGAUCCGUAAUAAAAUCAUUUUCUGUAAAGUUGCUUAAAAUAAACAAUGAUGUAGCUAGAUUUAUAGAGGAAGGCCGUUACCCAAUUGUGGUCCCAGCUAUCUGGGACCUUGGGAGGGGUGGGCCGGAUAUGGACCUAGCCUCUAGCAUCUUUUGCAUUAAGCAACCACUCUUGGGCUAGAUCUCAUGUUCUCUCACUCAUGAUAUUACCAUUCCACCAAGCAAUCACCCCUAAGCUGUUAAUAGAUAAUGAUGUAUAACUAUGAUUCAAUAGUCAAAUUAUGGUACGAAGAUAAUGAUGUGUACAUGCUGUCUUAAACUUGACUAUUUGAUAUGUGUUAAUUUUGUUUCA